rnacentral:rRNA from 1 species
UACGGAGGGAGCUAGCGUUGUUCGGAAUUACUGGGCGUAAAGGGCGCGUAGGCGGCCUUCUAAGUCGAACGUGAAAUCCCCGGGCUCAACCCGGGAACUGCGUCCGAUACUGGUUGGCUUGAAUCCGGGAGAGGGAUGCGGAAUUCCAGGUGUAGCGGUGAAAUGCGUAGAUAUCUGGAGGAACACCGGUGGCGAAGGCGGCAGCCUGGACCGGCAUUGACGCUGAGGCGCGAAAGCCAGGGGAGCAAACGGG